GGGCCUACGGGGGGCAGCAGUGGGGAAUAUUGCGCAAUGGGCGAAAGCCUGACGCAGCGACGCCGCGUGAGGGAUGAAGGUCUUCGGAUCGUAAACCUCUGUCAGGAGGGAAGAAGUGGUUAUAUGCGAAUAGUGUAUGACUUUGACGGUACCUCCAAAGGAAGCACCGGCUAACUCCGUGCCAGCAGCCGCGGUAAUACGGAGGGUGCGAGCGUUAUCCGGAAUGAUUGGGCGUAAAGGGUGCGUAGGCGGCCUGCUAAGUCUGGAGUGAAAGGUACCGGCUCAACCGGUACAGGCUCUGGAAA
rnacentral:rRNA from 1 species